UAACAUUCACAUUCAGGAAGUCGGCGAACCAAUGUACUUUAUGCAGCUGCUAUGAGUUUUUUCUCACCCCGUCGUGUCCCAUGUGUGUGUGUGUGUGUGGGGGGGUGAUCUAUGCAUGUAAUUGCUGGGUAAUGUACCACACCAGUCCGUUACGGAUGUGAUGUCUUUGUUUCUUGCCACCAUCACCUCUUCCACUUCCGAAACUUACAUUUUAAUACAGCCCAGAGUUUUCCAUUUUCCUGUGCCCCCACGACGCGUGCAAAUAACAGAACACAGCAGACUUCCCAUGAAGAUGUUAUCGGGAAGCCUUAAACAGAGAGCAACUCACGACGUGCCAGUUAGUGACAAAGCUGUGCACUACUCCCUGAAUGGUCAAGACGGCAGUGUAAUAACUGUGUCGGAAAUAACAGAAUGAGCUGAUAGUGUGGAUGCUGCUUGAACCUCAGAAGCCGGUGAGGUCCCAAAUGAAGGCUUUAUUUAUCUUUGAAAAGAGAAUCACUUCUCAUCCCAGCAGUCAUGUGGAGAAUAAAGCAUAGUUAGUCAAAAUGCCAAUUGCUUCUGAGGUUGCCAUGAAAGGAGCGACUCAACUUAUCCCAAGAUACAAUUACCUUGGAGUUAAAACUUAGCUUACUGGAUAGAUGGAUAUUUACUCUAACAAUUGUUCUAACUAAUUUGCAAAUCCCACUUAAAAACAUUGUUUUCACUGAAACAAAAUGUUCACAUUCAUUUUUGUAUUGACUUACACUUGUGUAAUGCUAGCAACCAUCUUUAAAAUGUCAAGAGUUUUUCCUUGUCUUGUUUCUUAGUCAUUUUUGGGGUUGGACAGUUGCAAUGAUUCUUAUGUACCUUAAAAGUAAGGUAGCUCAAAGUAUUACCUUUCUCAUUAUGUGAGGUGCAUUGUGACAUUUAUUUAGCAUUCUUAAGAGCUGUGUUAUAAUCAUUUUCUAACCAGCACCAUAAUUUAUGACAUUA